AACCUGCCCCAUAGGGAUCGGUUUGAUUCGGCUAAAGAUCUAAGGUACUUGUGAGGGAACCAGCUCUCCUGGUUGGUCCAGGCACAACCGACUAGCCGUGGUCGGUCACAGCAGCAGUAGAAGGCAGUGGUGGAGUGCAGGUCCAGCUGUCUCGGUGACAGGGCCCUGUGGUGAGCGGUUGUGGCUUUGCUGGAUGUCUGGGAGGCAGUCUGGGAGUAAGCAAGCUGGGGCUUUCUCCUGAAUCGGCUCACCGAUAGCACCUCGAUCUCAGUGAUGUUCCAGAAGGCUUUCCAGAAGUGCACGUCCAGUGUUCCCCGAAGGACACCAGCCCGAUGGAGAGAGUCUGCAGGAACGGCCGGAUGGCAGGUGUGAACUGUGAAGGGAUGCCUGUGUCACCCAACUACCCAGGAGAGGGAUGAGGAUGGGGCACGAGUCGGGACAGAGAUAGGAGUAGGGACAUACAUUUAGUAAGCUUUUACUGAGCUGCUGUGGUAUGCUGUGAGCAUCACCCUGGGCGGUUUCAUGGGCCUAGUGUCCUCCAGAGGAAGGAGAUGAUGAACAAAUAAAGACACGUGACAUGUAA